GUUGGGUAAAAAUAGGUCUGACAGCUAUCAGAGAUCUGUUAACGCAAUGAUGAAUGCAUUUUCUAAAAUAGGCGUUAAUAUGUCGCUCAAAAUUCAUUACCUACAUCAUCAUCUAGACUACUUCGGUCAGCAACUAGCCACCGAAUCAGAUGAACAAGGUGAACAGUACCACCAAAUUGCAAUGCCAUUUGAAAUGAGAUAUCGAGGAAAAAAGUCUCCCGAUGCUGUAUUAGCGGAAAUUUGUUGGUGGAGCAAGAACUUGCAUUACGAUGAUGAAGGAGAAGAAAACACAGGAAGUGAACUACAAAAUUUGUCUACUUCAAAUUCUGGAUCUACAGAGCAUCCACCAGAGCAGAAAAGACCUCGAACUAUAUAAUGUAGUUAAUUUUUAUAUAAACUAUGUAAAAAAAUACAAAUUACAUUUUAAAAAUUAAA